AGAGUUUGAUCCUGGCUCAGGACGAACGCUGGCGGCACGCUUAACACAUGCAAGUCGAACGAGAGAAGAGGAGCUUGCUUUUCUGAUCUAGUGGCGGACGGGUGAGUAACACGUGAGCAAUCUGCCUUUCAGAGGGGGAUACCGAUUGGAAACGAUCGUUAAUACCGCAUAACAUAAUUGAACCGCAUGAUUUGAUUAUCAAAGAUUUAUCGCUGAAAGAUGAGCUCGCGUCUGAUUAGCUAGUUGGUAAGGUAACGGCUUACCAAGGCGACGAUCAGUAGCCGGACUGAGAGGUUGAUCGGCCACAUUGGGACUGAGACACGGCCCAGACUCCUACGGGAGGCAGCAGUGGGGAAUAUUGCACAAUGGAGGAAACUCUGAUGCAGCGAUGCCGCGUGAGGGAAGAAGGUUUUAGGAUUGUAAACCUCUGUCUUCAGGGACGAAAAAAGACGGUACCUGAGGAGGAAGCUCCGGCUAACUACGUGCCAGCAGCCGCGGUAAUACGUAGGGAGCGAGCGUUGUCCGGAAUUACUGGGUGUAAAGGGGGCGUAGGCGGGAUCGCAAGUCAGAUGUGAAAACUAUGGGCUUAACCCAUAAACUGCAUUUGAAACUGUGGUUCUUGAGUGAAGUAGAGGUAAGCGGAAUUCCUAGUGUAGCGGUGAAAUGCGUAGAUAUUAGGAGGAACAUCAGUGGCGAAGGCGGCUUACUGGGCUUUAACUGACGCUGAGGCUCGAAAGCGUGGGGAGCAAACAGGAUUAGAUACCCUGGUAGUCCACGCCGUAAACGAUGAUUACUAGGUGUGGGGGGACUGACCCCUUCCGUGCCGCAGCAAACGCAAUAAGUAAUCCACCUGGGGAGUACGACCGCAAGGUUGAAACUCAAAGGAAUUGACGGGGGCCCGCACAAGCAGUGGAGUAUGUGGAUUAAUUCGAAGCAACGCGAAGAACCUUACCAGGUCUUGACAUCGUAUGCAUAGCUCAGAGAUGAGUGAAAUCUCUUCGGAGACAUAUAGACAGGUGGUGCAUGGUUGUCGUCAGCUCGUGUCGUGAGAUGUUGGGUUAAGUCCCGCAACGAGCGCAACCCUUACUGUUAGUUGCUACGCAAGAGCACUCUAGCAGGACUGCCGUUGACAAAACGGAGGAGGGUGGGGAUGACGUCAAAUCAUCAUGCCCCUUAUGACCUGGGCCUCACACGUACUACAAUGGCUGUCAACAGAGGGAAGCAAAGCCGCGAGGUGGAGCGAACCCCUAAAAGCAGUCCUAGUUCGGAUUGUAGGCUGCAACCCGCCUACAUGAAGUCGGAAUUGCUAGUAAUCGCAGAUCAGCAUGCUGCGGUGAAUACGUUCCCGGGCCUUGUACACACCGCCCGUCACGCCAUGGGAGUCGGUAACACCCGAAGCCUGUAGUCUAACCGCAAGGAGGACGCAGUCGAAGGUGGGAUUGAUGACUGGGGUGAAGUCGUAACAAGGUA
rnacentral:rRNA from 1 species